rnacentral:rRNA from 1 species
CCUACGGGAGGCAGCAGUGAGGAAUAUUGGUCAAUGGGCGCAAGCCUGAACCAGCCAAGUAGCGUGAAGGAUGACUGCCCUACGGGUUGUAAACUGCUUUUAUAAGAGAAUAAAGUGAGGCACGUGUGCCUUUUUGUAUGUACUUUAUGAAUAAGGAUCGGCUAACUCCGUGCCAGCAGCCGCGGUAAUACGGAGGAUCCGAGCGUUAUCCGGAUUUAUUGGGUUUAAAGGGAGCGUAGAUGGGUUGUUAAGUCAGUUGUGAAAGUUUGCGGCUCAACCGUGAAAUUGCAAUUGAUACUGGCAGCCUUGAGAACAGUUGCGGUAGGCGGAAUGCGUGGUGUAGCGGUGAAAUGCUUAGAUAUCAUGCAGAACUCCGAUUGCGAAGGCAGCUUACUAAGCUGCUACUGACAUUGAGGCACGAAAGUGUGGGUAGCAAACAGGAUUAGAUACCCGGGUAGUC